rnacentral:rRNA from 1 species
CCUACGGGUGGCAGCAGUGGGGAAUAUUGCACAAUGGGGGAAACCCUGAUGCAGCAACGCCGCGUGAAGGAAGACGGUUUUCGGAUUGUAAACUUCUGUUCUUAGUGAAGAAUAAUGACGGUAGCUAAGGAGCAAGCCACGACUAACUACGUGCCAGCAGCCGCGGUAAUACGUAGGGAGCAAGCGUUAUCCGGAUUUAUUGGGUGUAAAGGGUGCGUAGACGGAGAAGCAAGUUAGUUGUGAAAUCCCUCGGCUUAACUGAGGAACUGCAACUAAAACUACUUCCCUUGAGUACUGGAGAGGAAAGUGGAAUUCCUAGUGUAGCGGUGAAAUGCGUAGAUAUUAGGAGGAACACCAGUGGCGAAGGCGACUUUCUGGACAGUAACUGACGUUGAGGCACGAAAGUGUGGGGAGCAAACAGGAUUAGAUACCCGAGUAGUC